AAAGGGUGGUAAUGCCGGAUGCUCCAUCACACCGCAUGGUGUGUUGGGAAAGCCUUUGCGGCAUGGGAUGGGGUCGCGUCCUAUCAGCUUGAUGGCGGGGUAACGGCCCACCAUGGCUUCGACGGGUAGCCGGCCUGAGAGGGCGACCGGCCACAUUGGGACUGAGAUACGGCCCAGACUCCUACGGGAGGCAGCAGUGGGGAAUAUUGCACAAUGGGCGCAAGCCUGAUGCAGCGACGCCGCGUGAGGGAUGGAGGCCUUCGGGUUGUAAACCUCUUUUGUUAGGGAGCAAGGCAUUUUUUGUUGAGUGUACCUUUCGAAUAAGCACCGGCUAACUACGUGCCAGCAGCCGCGGUAAUACGUAGGGUGCAAGCGUUAUCCGGAAUUAUUGGGCGUAAAGGGCUCGUAGGCGGUUCGUCGCGUCCGGUGUGAAAGUCCAUCGCUUAACGGUGGAUCCGCGCCGGGUACGGGCGGGCUUGAGUGCGGUAGGGGAGACUGGAAUUCCCGGUGUAACGGUGGAAUGUGUAGAUAUCGGAAAAGAACACC
rnacentral:rRNA from 1 species